GUCUGAGCCAGCUGGGAAGGAGAAAGGCACACUUUGACAGGAAGCCCCUGAGGGCAGGCUCACCUGGACCCCCUGGCACAACAGAUGCUCAAAGGCGGAUGACAGAAGCCGGCCUGCCACCCUCCAUUUGGACAGCAAGGACCCGAGAGGGGUUCACCUGGGAGCUUGAGUUUCUGGUCAUCUCAUAAUCUGGCCAGAGCCUCCCUCGAUCCUGCCUCUCGGUCCACUCGCUCCAAGGUCAAGUGGGUGCGGAGCACAGCGGAGGCCACAGCUCACUUGGAGAGGUAGCCCUGGGGAAAACUGUGCCUAUUUGCAGCCGAAGGAAGAUGCAAGAAACCCACACACACAGCGCCGUGGCCACUUUGGGGAUGACUAAAUUCAACUGAGAGAUGUGAAUUCCGCAAAAUCUACCCAACAGGAGAACUCUGGGCGCCAUGGACUCGGGAGGGGCCACCAGGACACUGGCUGACUGUCCCUAAGGGGUCCCAGGCCCUCCACCCUUUGAGGCCCAGAGCAGACACCCUCACUGGGGUGGCUGAGUCACUCCCAGUGCAGACGGGACCAGAGACCAGAGGGACACGCAGACGGCAGACGUUUAUCCACCGGGAGAAAGACACCCCGUGGGCAGAGCCCGUUCAUCGGCACCAAGUGCUGGGUCUCCAGGCCCCCAGCACAAAGCCACCCUGCCUGUUCACUGCAGCAUCUUCAGCAGCCAUUAGAGGGCCUUCCUGAGCCAGGGCCUGGAGCCCAGCUGUGGGGUCAGGGUUUAAGAAGACCUUAGGGAAAAAAAAAAAAAGAAGCCCUUAGGAAACCCUUCAGUACCUCAGCUGAUUAAUUAAAUUAAUUCUGAUCUUCCAUGUUUCCUGCAAAGCUGUCAAUGGAUAAAGGCAGAGAGCCGGGCAUUUUGCUCUGGAGGAACGACAGCAAGGCCGGGUCUGCCACUGCUCUGUGCCCACUCUGCGUGAGCUCCUUCACUUGCUCUGGCCCCUAGAAUCCUCCUGAACCCAUCUCACAGAUGACGAACCUGAGGCAAAGAUGGCUCACAGGGCCACACAGCCAGGAGGGGGCCAAGCUGAGCCAGAAAAGCAAAAACUGAGCCAGAGCUUCCUGAACCUGUCCUUGGAGACGGUCUCAACCCCUGAAGAGGUCAGUUUCAAUGCAGGUUUUGCCCCUGCCUGCUCCGAGGGCCCAGGUGGGGCCCUAGAAUCUGCAUUUUAGCUGUCUCUCUGGGAGACUCCGAUCCCAGAGGUCUGGGGUGGGAGACCCGUGGCCACAGGGCAGGACAGCCCAGAGCCCAGACUCAGUCACCCAGGGCAGGCUCCUCGGCUGCCUGCUCACCCCCUGCUGCGUGCCAGGCCCUGUUUAGUGUUAGUAAAGAGGGGCAAAGUCCCGGCCCUGGUGGAGCUAACAUGCCAGAGGAAGGGAGGUGAUAAACACAUAGAGGAACAUACAAUGUCACUCUAGGAACUGGACGAAAGCAGGGCAUGGGGAUGGGGUGGGGGGCUCCCCAGCCAAGCCCCUUUUGAGGAGCUGAGAGUUGAGCAGGGACCUGGGUUCUGGAGAUGACCUGUUCCAGGCUGGGAGGAGGAGCUCCCACCCGGCGGAAGCAGUCAGUGCAAAGGCCCUGAGGUGGGAAUGAGCUUGGAGUUGUGAGGGUGCAGCCAGGUCCCCUUGGGCUCUGAGGCACUGAGCUUGGGUUUUAUUCCAAGUGAGAGGGGGGCCAUUGACAGCCCUGUCCUCCCCACCAGUCUUUGCCCAGGAGCUUUGGAACCUGUUCCGGUGCUUCCAUCCUAGAACCACACCUGCCCUGGCCCCCAGCCUCGCCCUGCGCACCCUCCGGCACGGCCUAACACUCCAGAAGGUCUACACAGCAGGUGCCUCGGCCCACCCUCACCUCACUCACCCUGUGACACCUUGAGCUCCAGCCUUGCUCCCCACCCCACCUGGGGUCCAAAUAGCCUCCCAUCACUGAAUUCAUCAGAUUCCAGGGUGAGAACAUUUACGACCCUUUUUUUUUUUUUUACCUGCUGGUGUUUCUAAAUUUUCCAAACCCAACCUGUCUUGUGUAAGAAAUUAUAAAAGCUGUGCAAAAUAAAAACUCUACCAUGCA